rnacentral:tRNA from 2 species
GCGCUAAUAGCUCAAUGGAUAGAGCAACAGACUUCUAAUCUGUAGGUUUUAGGUUCGAGUCCUAAUUGGCGCG